UGGGGAAUCUUGCACAAUGGACGAAAGUCUGAUGCAGCAACGCCGCGUGGGGGAUGAAGCUUUUCGGAGUGUAAACCCCUUUCGACCCGGAAGAAAGCCCGCAAGGGUUUGACGGUACGGGUAUAAGAAGCCCCGGCUAACUACGUGCCAGCAGCCGCGGUAAAACGUAGGGGGCCAGCGUUGCUCGGAAUUACUGGGCGUAAAGGGUCCGUAGGCGGUGUGGCAAGUUGGUAGUGAAAUCUCUGGGCUUAACCCAGAGGCUGCUGCCAAAACUGCCGUGCUAGAGUGUGAGAGAGGCGAGUGGAAUUACGGGUGUAGCGGUGAAAUGCGUAGAUAUCCGUAGGAACAUCCGAGGCGAAGGCGGCUCGCUGGAUCACAACUGACGCUGAGGGACGAAAGCUAGGGGAGCAAACAGGAUUAGAUACCCUGGUAGUCCUAGCCCUAAACCAUCAGGACUUGGGGUGUGCCCUGUACGGGGCACGUCCCGUAGCUAACGCGUUAAGUCCUGCGCCUGGGGAGUACGGUCGCAAGGCUG
rnacentral:rRNA from 1 species